rfam:Ktedonobacter racemifer DSM 44963 strain SOSP1-21 Krac_Contig206, whole genome shotgun sequence.
GUCAGGUACCCCAUGCCUAAAGGCAGGGGCUUGUGAACGCAAGCCCGGACCUGUCCAGACUUCGCCAUGAGCUUUCUGUUUCGGCAGACGGCUAUUGGGCUACGAUAGAGGUGAAGCGUUCAAGUUCCUACCUACGGGUGCGUGCCAGCCUGUAGCUCUAGAAUCUCUGAGUUAAACAGCAAAACGGGGUGUUAUGCAGUGCUCAGGGAAAAGUACCGCCCUCUAUCAUUGUCGAGGCAACCAUUAC